rnacentral:rRNA from 1 species
UACGUAGGGUGCAAGCGUUAAUCGGAAUUACUGGGCGUAAAGCGUGCGCAGGCGGUUGUGCAAGACCGAUGUGAAAUCCCCGGGCUUAACCUGGGAAUGGCAUUGGUGACUGCACGGCUAGAGUGUGGUCAGAGGGGGGUAGGAAUUCCACGUGUAGCAGUGAAAUGCGUAGAGAUGUGGAGGAAUACCGAUGGCGAAGGCAGCCCCCUGGGAUAACACUGACGCCUCAUGCACGAAAGCGUGGGGAGCAAACAGG